UCAAGGGCUGACAGUGUGUAAAGAAGUUGGAGCAAGGGGCCAACACCAUGCCCUGAUGGUCCGGAGGGAGUUUAUCAAGGAUCACUGUGGGCUGCUGGCUUCUGGGAAAGCCGAUUCUGACCAGAGUUUCUCUUCUGCUUCUUAAAUGGGUACUGUUCACCUUUAACCUAGAGCAACCUGUGCCCACCUGCUCAGCUCUGAACCAUGCUUUCCACGUUUCAACAGACCUCAUUAGCAUCUGACCACUGGGGGCACCGUUAAGCAGAGGCUGUCAGGAAUGUCACCUGAACGUUAGCAGCUGAGAAACACAGCUUACAUCCUCCCACGGCCAGUGAGGACCUUGGUCACAGGAAGCCUGACAGGCUGGAUUCAUCCAAAGAAAUGCCUUCACGAAUAAUCAUGGCUAGAGAUUACCAGACCCUCUCUGGCCUUUUCCAAGGAGGUAUCCUUUCUUGAGGAAAAGGAGGAUACAAGGAAACUAGAAAAGGAGGGAGCACAUCUUCGGGAUUGCCACAAGAUCCUGAGUAUCCUGGGAAAGGUCUCAGUUGCUCUGUUUUUCUAAAUCAAGAUUUUGUUUGAUUUUUGUUUGUUUGUUUGUUUUGUUUUGUUUUUCUGUGGUAGGUGAGUGGGGGCUGCCCUUUAUCCCACAUGGAAAAUAAACAUCAUCCUCAUGGCCUCCCACACAAGCAGUCUGAGAACUGUUUAUGAUGUCUACUUUAUGACAAUGUAAGCUAUGGGUGAAAUUCUAAUGGCACCAAAGGAGUUCCCUUUUUUUUUAGAUCUAAAUCUCUUUAACCAUACCUACACUAUGCAUAUAGUAGUUCUAUAUUUGUAUAGAAGUGAAUUUUGGGAAAAUGUAUAUCUCUUUUGGAAUCAGUUUCUAGCUCUUCUGGUUAAAACAAAAAACAACCUUUGACUGAGAUUUAAGUGAUAUGAGUCACACAUAGUGUGCUUUUCUGUUACCAUUAACAUUUAAAUUUAUUUCAGAAUCCUUUAAGGCAUUGUUUUUCAAAGUAGA